CAGCACCAGAGCCCAGCCUGAUCUGAACCUCGCUUUUCUGGCUGGUCACCUGAUGGGUCCCGGGCCUACCUGUUCAUCCCAUGGGAAGCUUUUACUGGUAGGGACCAUCUUUCCCACAUUCCCAGUUGUGCCUGGUACAAGAUCGCGUGUUUCAUAACACCCUGUUACAUAAGAAAUAAUAAAUAACGGUGAUUAAUGACCUCCUCCCCUCAUCCCUGGACUGGCUGGGUCAGACCUCCCAGGGAAGGUACAGGGGAUCCAGGAGGAGGCGAAAGGGAGCACGAGGUGCCCUCAUCUUCCCCAACACCUCCGCAUGUCCUCUCCCACAGGCCACCAGAAAAGCCAAGGCAGAGACUCCAAAGGCCCGAAGAGAAGGGGAGCCCCAGCAUGAGGUUGUAUAGUCCCCAAGGCCCCUCUGAUCCUGCCCCAUCAGGUGGCCCUGUCCCCUGAGGACCACCCUGGUUGAGGAAUGAUUGUCCACUGAGAUGCCCCGCCUGCCCCGGGCUCUGAGCACCUCUGGUGGGUGGGAGGCCCAGGCUGCACUCCAGGGACCAGGCGGGGCUGGGCUGGGCCUUUGGGGGUGGUCUCCUGGGAGGAUUUGUGGCUUUUUUCUCCAACUCUGGAGCAGCAGGGAGGGAGGGAGGAAACCCCUUGGAGGAUGUGGCUGGGCCACUUAGAGGUGAGAGGAAAGGGAGGCUAAGAAGUUGGAAGGGAGGAGCAGAGGAAGGAGCCGGAGACCUCCCCAGAUGCUCCAGGCCCUCUCAUCGCUGCAAGGCCCAGGGACAGAGCCAGUAAUGCCACGAGGGGCACUUCUUAAGGUCAUCAAGGCUCAUCUCUGACCUCCAACAACCUCUACCUGCCCUCUGGGUGGAUAUAAACCCUGUCAUUUGGAUCUUUGCAGACCCAGAACUUGUGGACUUUGUCAAUGAAGGAUGUCUUCCUUAGGUCUAACUUCAACCUUGCUUGCUAUACUUUAUUCAUUCAUUCAUUUUGUAGUACUGGGGACUAAUCCUUGGCUGUUCUAUCACCGAGCUACAUCCCCAGUCCUUUAUAUUCUUUAUUUUGAGACAGGGUCUCUCUAAGUUGCUGAGGCUGGUGUCAAACUUU
rnacentral:lncRNA from 1 species